rnacentral:rRNA from 1 species
GAGUUUGAACCUGGCUCAGGACGAACGCUGGCGGCGUGCCUAAUACAUGCAAGUCGAGCGAGCUUGCCUAGAUGAUUCUAGUGCUUGCACUAAAUGAAACUAGAUACAAGCGAGCGGCGGACGGGUGAGUAACACGUGGGUAACCUGCCCAAGAGACUGGGAUAACACCUGGAAACAGAUGCUAAUACCGGAUAACAACACUAGACGCAUGUCUAGAGUUUGAAAGAUGGUUCUGCUAUCACUCUUGGAUGGACCUGCGGUGCAUUAGCUAGUUGGUAAGGUAACGGCUUACCAAGGCAAUGAUGCAUAGCCGAGUUGAGAGACUGAUCGGCCACAUUGGGACUGAGACACGGCCCAAACUCCUACGGGAGGCAGCAGUAGGGAAUCUUCCACAAUGGACGAAAGUCUGAUGGAGCAACGCCGCGUGAGUGAAGAAGGGUUUCGGCUCGUAAAGCUCUGUAGG